rnacentral:tRNA from 1 species
GGGGAUGUAGCUUAGUGGUAAAAGUGAUUGUUUCCCAUACAUGUGGUCCUGGGUUUCAUCACCAGCAUCCCUU